CUGUUGUUAAGGAACUCGGCAAAAUGACCCCGUAACUUAGGGAUAAGGGGUGCCACCAUCAGGUGGCCGCAGAGAAUAGGCCCAAGCGACUGUUUACCAAAAACAUAGGUUUCUGCUAAGUCGCAAGACGAUGUAUAGGAGCUGACGCCUGCCCGGUGCUGGAAGGUUAAGGGGAUCUGUUAGAGUAAUCGAAGCAGUGAACUUAAGCCCCAGUAAACGGCGGCCGUAACUAUAACGGUCCUAAGGUAGCGAAAUUCCUUGUCGGGUAAGUUCCGACCCGCACGAAAGGCGUAACGAUUUG
rnacentral:rRNA from 1 species